CACGUAGGGGGCGAGCGUUGUCCGGAUUUAUUGGGCGUAAAGAGCUCGUAGGCGGCUCAGUAAGUCAGGUGUGAAAACUCCAGGCUCAACCUGGAGACGCCACCUGAUACUGCUGUGGCUAGAGUCCGGUAGGGGAGCAUGGAAUUCCUGGUGUAGCGGUGAAAUGCGCAGAUAUCAGGAAGAACACCUAUGGCGAAAGCAGCUCUCUGGGACGGUACUGACGCUGAGACGCGAAAGCGUGGGGAGCAAACAGG
rnacentral:rRNA from 1 species